rnacentral:lncRNA from 1 species
AUUACAUGUUAUUUCAGUGAGAUACAAGAGAAAGAAGUAGGUUGUGGCUACACCUGGCAAUUCUGACAGCACAAUCUUUAGCGCCACUAGAUACACCUGAGGAGUUUCUUGGUUGUCUGCUCUAGGAGAACAUUCACACAACUCAGCAUCAGGUGACAGAGGAAUGUGAGAUGGUCUCAAUCCGCCCCUGUGACGCUUCCCACCUCAGCUACCAGAGGCAUGGAGCUACGGGAACAGCUCUCCAGCUGCUUGUUCUGUGCCAUACUCCUAGCAACAAUUCCCUUUUCAGAAAGCCUUGAGAAGAGCACUGAAAAAAUGGUUGAGGCUCACUUAGUCCUACAAAACAAGAUUCUCAUAGGCACGGUUGUUGUCCUCAUUGUUGUCAUCGUUAUCAUCGUUAUCAUCUUAAGUUGUCGUUGUUCAAGAAAAAGAAGGCGAGAUCCUGAAGAAGGUAACAAAAUUUUGCCAAGUAAUACACACAAACACACACACACAAACACAAAAGAUAAGCAGAAAAAAUACUAUUUGUGGUGAGUAUUAAUUUCCCAGACAAAUAUGUAACCAGUGA